GUAAAAGAGACCCAGGCGUCGUCACCAAGAGGCCAAGAAAGCGAGAGUCGCCUAGGGUUUUACUUGCUUCCUUUUAGCUCCCGCCGUCUCCGCGGAACCCUCGCCGCCACCGCCUCCCGCCUCGCGCAACCGGAGCCAGGAUGUUCCUCGGCGCGAUCCCGCGGCGGCCGAGCAAGGAGGCGGCGUACAAGCAGCUGCGCUCCCACCUCAUCGUCAUGGCCUCCUGCGUCGCCGCCAUCCGCGCCGCGCCCUACGUCCUCCACUUCCUCAACCGCGACGCGGACGUCCUCAAGCUGGAGCUCUAGGCCGUCCCCGUCCCCCGCCCGCUAGGUGCUGCUGUGAUGGACAAAUCAUCGCCUUAGUGCUCCAUGGAUGGUUUCAAAGCAAUGUUUGGAUAGGAUUUCUGCAGACCUUAUAAAACUGAAUUAGUUACAUUUGCCUGAGAGGCAUACAUCUUUCUGUACGUCGUUAUUUUAAUGGCAGUGCUUCUUGACUUGUCUGUUUUUUAAAA